rnacentral:rRNA from 1 species
GACGAACGCUGGCGGCGUGCUUAACACAUGCAAGUCGAACGGAAAGGCCCUGCUUUUGUGGGGUGCUCGAGUGGCGAACGGGUGAGUAACACGUGAGUAACCUGCCCUUGACUUUGGGAUAACUUCCGGAAACUGGGGCUAAUACCGGAUAGGAGCUCCUGCUGCAUGGUGGGGGUUGGAAAGUUUCGGCGGUUGGGGAUGGACUCGCGGCUUAUCAGCUUGUUGGUGGGGUAGUGGCUUACCAAGGCUUUGACGGGUAGCCGGCCUGAGAGGGUGACCGGCCACAUUGGGACUGAGGUACGGCCCAGAAUCCUACGGGCGGCAGCGGUGGGGAGUAUUGCACAAUGGGCGGAAGCCUGAUGCAGCAACGCCGCGUGCGGGAUGACGGCCUUCGGGUUGUGAACCGCUUUCGCCUGUGACGAAGCGUGAGUGACGGUAAUGGGUAAAGAAGCACCGGCUAACUACGUG